AACCUGUGGGAAUGACAGUAAGGUAAAUCUUGUAAUCUGUUAAUCAGGCAAACGAGAAUCAGGUAGGAGGUGUGCGUGUGUCAAAGCAGAAGAAUCAGCGUGGGCUGACCGGCGACGAACGGUGUCUAUAGACACGUCCUAAUCAGCAGAGGAAAGAGGUUAGUGCUCAACCACCUGAAGGAGGUCACGGGCCCCCUGCUUGAUCCCCUCCAGUUUGCCUACCGGGCAAACAGGUCAGCGAUGAUGCGGUCAACAUGGGACUGCACUACAUCCUGCACCACCUGGACACCCCAGGAACGUAGGCCAGGAUCCUGUUCGUGGACUUCAGCUCGGCGUUCAACACCAUCGCUCCUGACAUCCUCCAACAGAAUAUCAUCCAGCUUGCGGUGCCUGCCUCCACCUGUCAGUGGAUCACCAGCUUCCUGACCAACAGGAGACAGCGUGUGAGGCUGGGGGGGCAUCACAUCUGACACCCGGACCACCAAUACUGGAGCCCCUCAGGGGUGCGUCCUCUCCCCACUGCUCUUCUCUCUCUACACCAAUGAUUUCUCCUCAGGUGACUCUCCUGUGAAGCUCCUGAAGUAUGCAGACGACACCACUCUCAUCGGACUGAUCCAGGACGGUGAUGAGACUGCGUACAGACAGGAGGUGGAGUGGCUGGUCUACUGGUGCAGCCAAAAACCAUCUGGAGCUGAACCCGCUCAAGACCGUGGAGAUGACAGUGGAUUUCAGGCGAGACCCUUCACCACUUUUACCCCUCACUAUCAGCAGUAAUACUAUUCUCUCCACAGACACCUUCAAGUUCCUGGGAACCACAAUCUCUCAGGACCUGAGAUGUACCGGCCACAUAGACUCUGUCCGGAAGAAGGCCCAGCAGAGGCUGUACUUUCUGAGACAGCUCAAGAAGUUCAACCUGCCGGGAGAGCUUCUGAAGACCUUCUACACUGCCAUCAUCCAGUCUGUGCUCUGCACCUCCAUCACUGUCUGGUUUGGAUCGGCCUCCAAACAAGACAAGCACAGACUGCAACGGACAAUCAGGACUGCAGAAAAGAUCAUCGGAAUCAACCUCCCAUCUAUCCAAGACUUGUACCUGUCCAGGACCAGGAAACGUGCAACGAACAUCUAUACAGACCGUUCUCACCCAGGUUGCAGUCUGUUUGAUCUACUCCCCUCCGGACAGCGUUACAGAGCUCGGUACGCCAAAACCAGCAGACACAGAGACAGCUUCUUCCCCCAGGCUGUUGCUCACACCACUCUUAGAGUCUCAGAGUCAUUACUGUGCAAUAACAUCCUGCUCUCCACACUUUUUUUGAAUUUGUCGACACUGUUUGUACUACUAUGUGUCCUCUCUGCAUCCAUUGCAGCCUGGUCAUCCUGGAAGAGGGACCUUCCCAUCUGUGGUCUCUUCUCAAGGUUUCUCAUUUCCCCUAGCUGGAGUUUUGAGUUUUUCCUUGCCCUUUUGGGAGUUUAAGAUCAGGGGAUGUUUGAGAAUAUUUGCCAUUUUUCACAUGUCCUGAGUGUUGUUAGUCACCUAAAUGUUGAACAGAGGGUGUGAUUUACCGAAGUCAAAUUCCUUGUUUGGCACGCUCAAACAUGGCGGAUAAAAACGCUUGAAUCUUGAAUCUUAAAUGUUCAGAUAUUAAGAUGUGAUCGACAGUUUUUGCAUGAUUUGAAUGAGGCAAAAUAACAUGCUUUUUUCUUUUACUUCACUGGUUCUUCUAUAUCAAACAAUUUGUUUUAGGUUUAUUUACCUGACCUGUUUCGACGGGUUCUUCCGCCUUCAUCUGAGUGUCACUGAUGUGGUUGUGACGUGUUUUUAUCAGCUGAUGGAUGAAGGCGUGGCUCACCUGUCAAAUUUGACAGGUGAGUCACGCCCUCUAAUGUCAGUUCACCUCUCCAAAAUGCUGUUCCAGGUUGUAGAGAGCAUGUAGGCUCCCUCGUCCCUGUUGAUGGUACUCGGGCCCCGCUUGCGGAUCUCAAUGGCCUCCCUGAUCCAACGCUGAUGUUUGUUUUCUUCAGUGCGGAUCAGAGCUGUGGACUCGGACUCGGGGAAUCGGACUUGGUCGGACUCUGUCAUUUUUGCCGGACUCGGUGCUGAUUUUGACCGAGUCCACCGAGUCCGACAAUAAAAAAAAUAAACAUUUGUGAUUAUUUUUUGUGCGUAUUUGCUUCGAUUGAGUUCAAUAUGGUUUUUGGUCAAACGCGCAUGCGUGUGAGGGGAAAUCCCGCAAAGGAGGAAGGACAAACAGAGCGAUUGGUUUUGCUGGCUUUUUAAUGAAUGGCGACUGUGACUACGGGGGCCCAUUAGGUCCAGAAAAGCUAACAAGGCGCUUGCCAAAAUGGCAAGGAAAAAAUGCACAGCUAAACGAAUAUAUGACGAUGAACACAGGACGUUUUUAAAGUUAAAGUUGUUUUUUGUUGAACGCUAUGGCAAGCCAUUCUGCCUGAUAUGUUGGACGUCAUUGGCGCAUUUAAAAGCUUCAAAUGGUCAGCGCCACUUCAGCUCACUUCAUGCCUAUAUCGAUAAGGACUUUGCAAAAGGGACUGAAUUUUGCAAGCACAAGUUUGGAGACUUUGAAAAGUCAGGCAGAAAAAUAGGUACAGUUUUUCAAAAAAAAUACGAAGCACUCAGAGACUGUCACACUUGCAUUGUUUCAACUGAGCUAAAAAGCCAUACAAUGAAGUGGAGUUCGUUAAAAUAUGCCUCAGUGACGUUAUUGAAUUUUAUUUUCAUCAUGCUGCUGAGAAUGCGCGUAGGAAUACUGCCACAGCCCUGCUUGCUUGUUAUGAAGACAAAUUUAAUUGUUGCGUGCGCGCCCGUGCCUGCCUGCGUGCGUGCGUGCACGUACAAGACCCACAAUGCCAAGAUGGAAGAACCCUGGAGCAGCGGGAGAACAAUGUUUUGCCUCUAGAUUUGGGGGGGGAACGGAGCGUAAGUUACGAUCAAUGCGGCCACGUUGAGUUGCACUUAGGCUAAUGUUUACAUUAUGUACCAAUGUCAAGGACGAUUAUGUCACCCAGUUUAUAUCAUUGAUGUGUUUCGAUAGUUGUGGGGUCGUCACUAAUUAUUUGUGUUUAGAUAAAUGUCUGAGCUAUAAUGGUGUAAUUAAUGAUUAAAACUUGAAAAUAUCUGUUUAUUGUAUUCGUUUAUAGGUUUAAUAAAGACAAAGCCAUCACAAAACUGUUGUAAUUAUUUAGAUUUUGAUCUAAAUUAGCCUUUAAUAAAGAAUAAGCAGUCACAUGAAUUAACAGAAAAAAUGGACAGCCGGACUCGGACUCAUGGUCAAGAGGCCGGACUCGGUGCAAAAAUCCGACCGAGUCCACAGCCCUGCCUUUGAGGCACACAAGUCACAAGGUAGUAGAGAUGUACCCUCUUAGUGGACUAAACACGGGUCCUGCCAUUGAAGUCUUACCUACAUUCCGACCGAGUCCACAGCCCUGGUGCGGAUGACUCUGGCCUUUUCCCAGUCCAUGAUGUGCUUUUCUCUUUUACAGUGGUCGGUGAUGGGUGACUUGUAGCGUUCCUGUUCUGCUUGUAGUUUUAUUGCUUAUUGUUUGUCUUGUUGCUGUCUCCUUCUCACAUUCCUUCUUGUGUUCCGUUUUUCUUGUGAUGAAGUUCCUCCCCGUCUCCCCGAUAUAUGAUUUAUUGCAUAAUUUGCAUGGAAUCUCGUAUAUGGAAUUGCAUUUAUUUUCCGGAAUGACUCUGUCUUUUGGGUGGACCAGUAUCGGACGGAGUGUUGUAUGUGGUUUGAUAGGCGUGCUUAUGUUUUAUUUUUUCAUGGCUCAGUUUGUCAGUAGUCAGAACACUAUACGAAUGCAUAACAAUAAUCACGGAUCCGGAGGACAUAACACAGGAAGAAAAAUACAUAUAACACGCACUCGAAAAAUGUCAGUAUCCACAAUGGGCAAUACCCAAAGGUGCAGAACAGGUAAAAAACAAAAAAUACAAAACACAGGAGCAAAGAAAGAAACAAACACGGAAACAAGAACCCAGCGGAAUGGUGACGUUGCCGUAUGUGAGAGGAAUUACAGAACGCAUCAAAAGAACCAUGAAAAAAUACAACAUAAGCACGCCUAUCAAACCAAGCAACAAGACAAACAAGAGCAAUAAAACUACAAGCAGAACAGGAACACUACAAGUCAGCCAUCACCAACCACUGUAAAAGAGAAAACCACAUCAUGGACUGGGAAAAGGCCAAAGUCAU